AAGUCGUAACAAGGUUUCCGUAGGUGAACCUGCGGAAGGAUCAUUAACACGUAUCCAACGUUAAACCCCCCUGUGAACCUUCAUUGUGCUCCCCCAUUCCGUUAGGACGCGGCAAUCCCUGGUAAAUGACCUCUGCAUGGAGUGGGCUUGCAGCGCGAGGCAAGUGGCCUGGCAUUCCUCUGCUUGUUGGUGUCUGAAAGUGUACUAGCUCUGUAAGAAUGGCGCAGUAACGAUCGCUAGAGGCCGACACGGCCGGCGACCGGGUCCAUGAAAACGGGCCUGCGAACUCGAACAACUGUUAACAAUGGAUAUCUUGGUUCUC
rnacentral:misc_RNA from 1 species